rnacentral:rRNA from 1 species
GACGAACGCUGGCGGCGUGCUUAACGCAUGCAAGUCGAACGGAAAGGCCCUGCUUUUGUGGGGUGCUCGAGUGGCGAACGGGUGAGUAACACGUGAGUAACCUGCCCUUGACUUUGGGAUAACUUCAGGAAACUGGGGCUAAUACCGGAUAGGAGCUCCUGCUGCAUGGUGGGGGUUGGAAAGUUUCGGCGGUUGGGGAUGGACUCGCGGCUUAUCAGCUUGUUGGUGGGGUAGUGGCUUACCAAGGCUUUGACGGGUAGCCGGCCUGAGAGGGUGACCGGCCACAUUGGGACUGAGAUACGGCCCAGACUCCUACGGGAGGCAGCAGUGGGGAAUAUUGCACAAUGGGCGGAAGCCUGAUGCAGCAACGCCGCGUGCGGGAUGACGGCCUUCGGGUUGUAAACCGCUUUCGCCUGUGACGAAGCGUGAGUGACGGUAAUGGGUAAAGAAGCACCGGCUAACUACGU